rnacentral:rRNA from 1 species
GCAAGUCGAACGCCAACGUCUUUUUCGGAAGACGAGGAGCGUGGCGCACGGGUGAGGAGUGCGUAAGUAAUCUGCCCUCGCAUUCGGGAUAACGCAGCGGAAGGUGUGCUAAUACCGGAUACGUUUCAGCAAAUAUCUUUUUUUUAGAGAAAGGUGGCCUCUGAUUCAAGCUACUGUGCGGGGAGGAGCUUGCGUACCAUUAGCUUGUUGGUAGGGUAAUGGCCUACCAAGGCAACGAUGGUUAGCGGGUCUGAGAGGAUGAUC